rnacentral:rRNA from 1 species
CAGUAGCCACGGUAAUACGGAGGGGGCUAGCGUUGUUCGGAAUUACUGGGCGUAAAGCGCACGUAGGCGGCUUGGUAAGUUAGAGGUGAAAGCCCGGAGCUCAACUCCGGAAUUGCCUUUAAGACUGCCGAGCUAGUAGGUGAGAGAGGUAAGUGGAAUUCCGAGUGUAGAGGUGAAAUUCGUAGAUAUUCGGAAGAACACCAGUGGCGAAGGCGGCUUACUGGCUCAUUCUAGACGCUGAGGUGCGAAAGCGUGGGGAGCAAACAGGAUUAGAUACCCGCGUAGUCCCUGUCUCUUAUAC